rnacentral:lncRNA from 1 species
CUUCUAACCAAUCAUUAACCCGAAUUCUGACAUGUGACGAAAAAGUGUAGUCGGAUUGGUGAGACAUUUUGUUGUGCGAUAAUAUCGUAUCUCAAAAGAAAAACACUUUUCACGGCAGCUGACAUUAUUACAGGUACAGUUUUAUCAAUUUUAGGUUCUCAAAGCUAAUAUAUUAGCUUAAAAAUAAUGAAAAUACAAUAUAGGUGCAGAAAUUUUUGCUCGUCUUGGUAAUUGAUUGGUUAGAAGAUCAGAUAUUUUCGCAUACAGCGGAACAUGCAUAUUAAAUUCUAAAUAAUCGAUAAAAAGAUUUCAGUUUUUACUGCCUGGUGUAAAAUUAUCAAAACCUUAGAUACGAGGUUUUUGCAUAACAGCGACG